UGGGGAAUAUUGGACAAUGGGCGAAAGCCUGAUCCAGCCAUGCCGCGUGUGUGAAGAAGGUCUUCGGAUUGUAAAGCACUUUAAGUUGGGAGGAAGGGCAGUAAGCGAAUACCUUGCUGUUUUGACGUUACCGACAGAAUAAGCACCGGCUAACUCUGUGCCAGCAGCCGCGGUAAUACAGAGGGUGCAAGCGUUAAUCGGAAUUACUGGGCGUAAAGCGCGCGUAGGUGGUUCGUUAAGUUGAAUGUGAAAGCCCCGGGCUCAACCUGGGAACUGCAUCCAAAACUGGCGAGCUAGAGUAGGGCAGAGGGUGGUGGAAUUUCCUGUGUAGCGGAGAAAUGCGUAGAUAUAGGAAGGAACACCAGUGGCGAGGGCGACCACCUGGGCUCAUACUGACACUGAGGUGCGAAAGCGUGGGGAGCAAACAGG
rnacentral:rRNA from 1 species